GACGAACGCUGGCGGCGUGCUUAACACAUGCAAGUCGAACGGAAAGGCCCUGCUUUUGUGGGGUGCUCGAGUGGCGAACGGGUGAGUAACACGUGAGUAACCUGCCCUUGACUUUGGGAUAACUUCAGGAAACUGGGGCUAAUACCGGAUAGGAGCUCCUGCUGCAUGGUGGGGGUUGGAAAGUUUCGGCGGUUGGGGAUGGACUCGCGGCUUAUCAGCUUGUUGGUGGGGUAGUGGCUUACCAAGGCUUUGACGGGUAGCCGGCCUGAGAGGGUGACCGGCCACAUUGGGACUGAGAGACGGCCCAGACUCCUACGGGAGGCAGCAGUGGGGAAUAUUGCACAAUGGGCGGAAGCCUGAUGCAGCAACGCCGCGUGCGGGAUGACGGCCUUCUGGUUGUAAACCGCUGUCGCCUGUGACGAAGCGUGAGUGACGGUAAUGGGUAAAGAAGCACCGGCUAACUACGUG
rnacentral:rRNA from 1 species